rnacentral:lncRNA from 10 species
GGCGCCUGUAAUCCCAGCUAUUUGGGAGGCUAAGGCAGGAGAAUCGCUUGAACCCAGGAGGCGGAGGUUGCAGUGAGCCAAGAUCACACCACUGCACUCCAGCCUGGGGGGCAAGACUUCGUCUAAAAAAAACAGGGGUCCAAAACAGGCAAAUCCAUAGCUUGGUGGCUGCCUAGGGCUGGGGGACUAUGAGAAAAAUAGGAAAUGAUGGCUAAUGGGUACAGGGUUUCUUUUUCAGAUGAUGAAAAUGUUCUCAAAUUGACUGUGGUUGAUGGUUGCACAACUGUAAAUACACUGAAGACUGCUGAACUGCACACUUAAAACUUCCAAAACAAUAUGUUCCGAAUCUCUAUAUAUUGAAGAGAAAAACUGUUCUUGUAUAGAAUAAACUCUACUUCUACUGCUUGACAGAAUACCUGUAUCCAACGGCAUAAUCUUAAAAUACAGGAACCACUUUCACAGGAGCAAAAUUUACUGCUCUUAGCACCUACCAUGCACAUAUCACUAUGAUAGGUACUGCAGAGGACAGGAUAGUCUUACCUUCAAAGAGCUUGUGAUCUGACCCCAGAGAAAAGAAUACAUACAAUUGUGUGAUGCUUUCUGACGUUACUUCUAACACCAAAUGUGGGGUACCCUUUCUUAGGACACCAACUGGGUGUACAACUCAAUCCUAUUCUGACACUAUCUGAAGUUAGCUUUGGAGAAGACUGUCCUUACUUCAGAAGCCAGUUGCAAUUCCCUGGUCCCAGGCUACCUGCACACUUCUAUCCCACUUGACUACAAAUUUCAGGGUUCCCACUACUGCCUCCUCAGGUCUGAUAAUUUGAUGGAAUGACUCACAGAACCCAAGAAAGCUUUUUACUAUUACUGUUUUUUGUUUGUUUUUUGUUUUGUUUUUUUUUUUAAAUAAAGGAUACAACUGAGGAACCACAUGGAAGAGAUGCAUACGGCAAGGUGGGGAGGGGCUGCAGAGUUUCCAUCAAGUCUCUGGGCAUGCUACCCACCCAGUAUGUCGAGUUGUUCACCAAUCCAGAAGCACAUCAAAUUAGGAGUUUUUAUAGAGUUCAAUCUCUGGCCCUGCAACCCCAAGGUUGGCAAGUGGGCCGACAAGUUUUAACCCUCAAAUCAAGUGAUUGGCCUUUCUGACUAAACCAACUAUGAGGCUAUCUAGGGGCCCCACCAAAAUCACCUCACAGUAGAACAAACUCAGGUGUGGUCCAAAGUGGAUCACUAGGAACGACAAAGACACUCCUAGCACUCUGCAAACUCCGAGUGUUUUUGGAGAGCUCUGUGCCAAGAACUGGGACAAAGACCAAAUAUUUACUUACUCUAUUACAAUGCUAAAAACACCAAAUAAAGUAACAACUUGGAAUGGAGGUGAUGGCCUUGCAGGGAUCUAGUUUAACCUUGAAUUCUUCAGUAUUUUUUUUUUGAGACAGGGUCUCGCUCUGUCACCCAGGCUGGAGUGCAGUGGCGCCAUCUUAGCUCACUGCAACCUCUGCCUCCUGGGAUCACGCUAGCCUCCCACUUCAGCCUCCCAAGGAACUGGGACUACAGGUACGUGCCAUCACGCCCAGCUAUUAAGUUUCUGUAUUAAUAUUGAAGGGAUUUAUUACAAAGAGAGUGAGGUGAAUUUUCUGUUUUCAAGUUACACAUCUUUUUUGUAAAAAAAUUAUAAUACAGAAAGGUCUAAAGAAACCAAGAACUAGGUACCAAGCACAUUUUAGCAAACAGCUUUUCUUUUUCUUUUUUUUUUUUUUUUGAGAUGGAGUUUUGCUCUUGUUGCCCAUGUUCGAGUGCAAUGGUGCGAUCUUGGCUCACCGCAACUCCUCCGCCUCCUGGGUUCAAACAAGUCUCCUGCCUCAGCCUCCCAAGUAGCUGGGAUUACAGGCGCCCGUCACCAUGCCUGGCUAAUUUUUGUAUUUAUUUUUUAGUAGAGAUGGGGUUUCACUAUGUUGACCAGGCUGGUCUCAAACUACUGACCUCAGGUGAUCUGCCCACCUCGGCCUCCCAAAGUGUUGGAAUUACAGGCGUGAGCCACCACACCUGGCCAGUAAUCAGCUUUCUAAAUAUAGACUAGAUACACAAAAUUUUAAUAUGAGGAAUACCAUUAUGCUAUUCUUCAGUCUGCGCUUCCCCUUUAACAGCAUGUCAUGAAUAUCUUAUAACCCUAACCGUACUUCUUUCUUUUCUUCCUUUAGAGACAGGGUCUCGCUAUGUCAUCUAGGCUGGAGUGCAGUGGUGUGAUCACAGCCCACUGUAGCCUCAAACUCCUGGCCUCAAGGGAUCCUUCUGUCACGGCCUCCCAAAGAGCAGGGACUAAAGGCACAUGCCACCAUGUCUCACAGCAGCCUCUACCCGCUGGAUUCAAGGUAUCCUCCUGCCUCGGCCUCCCAAGUAGCUGGGAUCACAGGCACGUACCACCAAGCCUGGCUAAUUUUUUUUUGGUAGAGACACGGUCUCACUUUAUUGCCCAGGCUAGUCUAGAACUUCUGGGCUCAAGUGAUCCUCCGGCUUUGGCCUCCCAAAGUAUUUGGAUUACAGGUGUGAGCCACUGAGCACAGCCCCUAAUCAUACUUUUUAAAUUUAUUUUUAUUAUUUUUUUUGAGACAGAGUCUCGCCCUGUCACCCAGGCUAGAGUGCAGUGGCACGAUCUCGGCUCACUGCAAGUCCUGCCUCCCGGGUUCACGC